AUACGUAGGUGACAAGCGUUAUCCGGAUUUACUGGGCGUAAAGGGCGUGUAGGCGGUCUUGCAAGUCAGAAGUGAAAUUCCUGAGCUCAACUCGGGCGCUGCUUCUGAAACUGGAGGACUUGAGUGCAGAAGAGGAGAGUGGAAUUCCAUGUGUAGCGGUGAAAUGCGUAGAUAUAUGGAGGAACACCAGUGGCGAAGGCGGCUCUCUGGACUGCAACUGACGCUGAGGCGCGAAAGUGUGGGGAGCAAACAGGAUUAGAUACCCUGGUAGUCCACACUGUAAAUGAUGAAUGCUAGGUGUAGGAGGUAUCGACCCCUUCUGUGCCGCAGUAAACACAGUAAGCAUUCCGCCUGGGGAGUACGGUCGCAAGAUUAAAACUCAAAGGAAUUGACGGGG
rnacentral:rRNA from 1 species